rnacentral:rRNA from 1 species
GACGAACGCUGGCGGCGUGCUUAACACAUGCAAGUCGAACGGAAAGGCCCUGCUUUUUUGGGGUGCUCGAGUGGCGAACGGGUGAGUAACACGUGAGUAACCUGCCCUUGACUUUGGUAUAACUUCAGGAAACUGGGGCUAAUACCGGAUAGGAGCUCCUGCUGCAUGGUGGGGGUUGGAUAUUUUCGGCGGUUGGGGAUGGACUCGCGGCUUAUCAGCUUGUUGGUGGGGGAGUGGCUUACCCAGGCUUUGACGGGUAGCCGGCCUGAGAGGGUGACCGGCGACAUUGGGACUGAGAUACGGCCCAGACGCGUACGGGAGGCAGCAGUGGGGAAUAUUACACAAUGGGCGGAAGCCUGAUGCAGCAACGCCGCGUGCGGGAUGACGGCCUUCGGGUUGUAAAACGCUUUAGCCUGUGACGAAGCGUGAGUGACGGUAAUGGGUAAAGAAGCACCGGCUAACUACGUG